rnacentral:rRNA from 1 species
UACGUAGGGUGCAAGCGUUGUCCGGAAUUAUUGGGCGUAAAGGGCUCGUAGGCGGUCCGUCACGUCGGGAGUGAAAACUUGGGGCUUAACCCUGAGCUUGCAGUGGGUACGGGCAGACUAGAGUGCGGUAGGGGAGACUGGAAUUCCUGGUGUAGCGGUGAAAUGCGCAGAUAUCAGGAGGAACACCGGUGGCGAAGGCGGGUCUCUGGGCCGUAACUGACGCUGAGGAGCGAAAGCAUGGGGAGCGAACAGG